rnacentral:rRNA from 1 species
UACGGGGGGAGCAAGCGUUGUUCGGAUUUACUGGGCGUAAAGGGCGCGUAGGCGGUAGCACAAGUCAGUUGUGAAAUCUCCGGGCUUAACUCGGAAAGGUCAACUGAUACUGUGCGACUAGAGUGCAGAAGGGGCAACUGGAAUUCUCGGUGUAGCGGUGAAAUGCGUAGAUAUCGGAAGGAACAUCAGUGGCGAAAGCGGCUUCCUGGACCAGUACCGACGUUCAGGCACGAAAGCGUGGGGAGCAAACAGG